GGGUGAAACGAAGUUGUGUGGUGAUAAUCUUAUUCCACAGGAGAUUUUUCAGAUCUGAAAACCGAUUAUUUGAACCUCAAAUAGCACUUUUAAAAAUAAUUUGCCCAAAAUUAUUGGCCAAAAUAUGUGUGUCCAGAAAAACUGGUGUGAACUCAACUUUACUGUGCUAGUCAGCCCUUAUGUUAGCAUCCUGUUAAGGCCAGGCCCUNNNNNNNNNNNNNNNNNNNNUGAAAAGUGGCUGCACUAAAAAACUCUUCCACUGAUGUGAUGAACUUCUCCCGAUGUGGUGAACCUUCCUCUCCUUCACUGAAGAGCAUGACACCUAACUGGACUGCGAGGAAGCAGGGAUGGAGGGGUGCUCGCAGUAUCCAGCAGCAUGCUGCAGGCAGGCAGGCCUGGAAGGAGCACAUCGCUUCUGCGGCUGGUGCACACUGAGAGGCCUACGGUUGUCUGGCAGGAGCCAGGGAAGCAAGGUCCGUGCUUCAAAUACUGUUUCAGAGAGAAAUGAGAAACACACAAGAAGGAGAACUCCUGUGGGGCAAGGCCAGAGGGUGCAUCUGCUGAAGGACGAGGACCUAUUGAGGGGGGCCAGCAUCGAGACCCUGAGACCUCGUUGCCGUAGGUGGUUCUGCAUGGCUCCUGCGCUGAGUGAUGCUGGCCGGAGAGGCCACGUCCACGGAGCACCACGUCCUGCGGGACCUCACGGUGGACGAGCGCAGGCUGCAAACAUCUGCGCUUGGUGCUGUAGCCGUGUUGCAAUGCUUCCUCUUGGCGCCCAGGGUUUAAGGCGACAGCCAGCACCAGCGCAGCCAAACUGUGGAAAAGGAGAUGGAUCACCCAUGCGAGAGGCCUCCUGCGAGCCACUGCCAAGGACCGUGCAGCUCAGCCCUCGUGCCGCUGGCGCAGUUAUUUAUUUACCUGCGCUCAGGUCAUGCCCGGGCUGUCACCACGGCCCCCUGAGCCCCUCAGUACGGCCAAGGCCUCAACGGCGACCCCCAUCAGGCCCCAGACCCUCCCUGGAGGCAAAAGGAGGCGGAGGGCAGGGACCAGAGCGGAGCCUGGGGGCUUGAGGCCCUCGGGGGCCGCACCAUGGCCGCUCUCCCCGGGGGCCGUGGAUGCGGGUGGGAGCGGCGGCGGCCGGCAGGUGGCCCCCGUGGCCGCCCUCCCCUCACCCAGGGGGGCUGGGGGGGGCUGCAUUUCCCUGCCUUCCCCUGCCCUGCCGGCCGUGGGCGCCACGGCUCCCCUCUUGGGAGGUGCGGAGGCCGGGGGAGGGCACCCUCCCUCCAUCCAUCCCUCCCUCCUUCUCCAUCUCCCUGCCUGCCGCGGCGGCGGCGAGGGGGAAGGAGGGCGGGCAGCCCCCGCCCGGCUCCCUCCUUCUCCUCCCUCCUUCCCUCCCUCCCUGCCUGCCAGCCUCGGGGCUGGCUUCCUCCCCGGGAAAUGCCCCUCCCGGCCGAUCUCUGAACAUCCCCCCCCCACCUUUUCCCUCCGCCCUCGCACGGCA
rnacentral:lncRNA from 1 species